rnacentral:lncRNA from 10 species
AAAGAGCAAGAGAAAGGCCCUGAGGCAAGAAUAAACUUGUUUUCAAGAACAGAAAGCAGGUUAGUAGAGCUGAGGCACUGUGAGUUUAAGAAGAGGUUGGUGUUACAUGGAGCAGCAGCACAGUCAAGCAGGGAACAGAUCACGUAAAGCCCUUUAGAGAGUGAAGUCGGCUUUUUAUGCUAGGUGCAACUGGGAGUUCUGAACACGGCAAAGUUGGACAUUCCAAAGAUGGCGUAGAUGAACAUGACCAGGAAGAGCAGGAGGCCGAUGUUAAACAACGCAGGAAGGGACAUCAUCAAAGCAAAGAGCAGCGUGCGGAUCCCCUUUGCUCCUUUGACUAGACGUAGGAUUCGGCCAAUCCUGGCAAGACGGAUCACUCGGAACAGGGUAGCAGAGAUCUCUGGAGGUGAAACAUUGCUCUGAACUGGCAUUGAUUCUAGCCCAGCUCUUGUAGACCAAUUACCAACUUCUCCAUCUCCCUCCAGUGCCUGGAACUGGACCUGGCACACAGGCAAAGGGUUAUCAACUGUGCUGCACUCUGAGGAGCUUGACCGGUUUAAUCUCUAGAAAGGAAUUCACCACCCCACCAGCACGCGGAACACAAUCAGGAAGGAGUGGAAGAAGUCGUUCAUGUGCCACCGUGGGAGCGUACAGUCAUCAUUGAUCUUGCAGACACAUUCUUUGUAGCUCUUACCAAAGAGCUGCAUGCCGACCACAGCAAAAAUGAAGACGAUGAUGGCCAACACUAAGCCUUUAGACUAAAAAGAAAACAAAUAUUACAUACCCUGAAUCUGUGCUGAAACCACAAAGGAGAGCAUCUUUGGAUCCUUCCAAGUAAUAAAAAUAUUCUGUUGAAGAAGAAUUUGAACAGUUAUAACAUCACAGACUUUAAUCUGUGAUUGUGAUAAAGGAGGUCAAAUUAAAAAAUCUGAUUAUUGGGAGACUUUUGGAGUAAUCAUGGAAGAAAGACUAUGAAAUCAGAUAUUCUUGGAUUUGAAUGUUGCUUCUAUCCCUUCUUAAACAUUCCAUGCUGGAAAAAUCAGACCCCAGAGGUUUGCUGUUAUUGGAACACUGUGCUGCCUGAGAUUUUCAUAAAUUUGCCGUUUCAAAAAGCUGAAAGUACUUACGCAAAAACAAUGACGACAAAAUCCAGCCAGUUCCACGGGUCACGAAGAAAAGUGAAUUCUCCUACACAGAAGCCUCUUGCAAGGAUUUUUACAAGUGAUUCAAAAGUAUAUAUUCCAGUAAAAGUGUACCUAAACACAAGAUUCCAUUGGGAUACUAGAUGUGAAAAGAAUACAACCACCAUGUAAAUCUUUAUAACUUAUUUUCUCUAAUUAACCACUGGAAGACAUAUAUUGGAGGAUGGCUGUUGGGUUAUGGACACACCCUAUUAAACUACAAUAGGUCUAUCCAGAAAAUAUUAAAAUGUCAAUAUCAGAAACACUCCCAGAAAGCAGAGGUACUUGAAAUAACUAAGAAUAUAGGUCUCAGAUCUGCCUAAAAAUUUCCUACAUUGCUUCUAUCAAAAAUUCACCCAAUCAUUUAAAAAUACACCCAUAUAAUUAUAAAACAUACACCCAAGAAUAAAAUAUGUGUAACAUGUCUAAGAACAGGAUGGAGCAUCUGACAAGUUCAUUCUUUGAGAAAACACUGUAGCAUCUAAUUUUUCUAAUCUAGCAGGUUAAUAUCAUAGAGGAGGUAAAGAACAAAAGAAAAGCAAGCAUAUAACAUGGGAAGGUAAAGAUUCCCCAUCUUCAUAAAUGCAGUAACUUCCUGGCAGGAAAAGGAAAGGAUGAAAUGAUAAUACCAAAACUAUAUUAAAAUGUACUUAUACCCACUUACUCGACAUUUUUGGUCCAGUCCGGUGGGUUAUUCAUGGUCAUAAAUAUGCAGUUUGUCAGAAUAGUGCACAUGAUGAGCAUGCUGAAUAAGGUAGCUUAGAAUCAAGGAACAAAAGAGACGACAGUGGGAAUUUGAAAUAUUUGAGGAUGACACUUGUUGAAAUGCUUACAACUUUUCCUAAGAAAAAAAUUCUAAAUGAGCUUGUAGACUAUUUUGUCUCUUUGAACAAGAGAGUAAUAAAUAAAAGUAACAUAUCCUAAAAUCUUAAUAUUGCCACUCUCCCAGUCUUCUCUGA